rnacentral:rRNA from 1 species
GACGAACGCUGGCGGCGUGCUUAACACAUGCAAGUCGAACGAAGUGGCGAACGGGUGAGUAACGCGUAAUCAACCUGCCCUUCAGAGGGGGACAACAGUUGGAAACGACUGCUAAUACCGCAUACUGAAGGAGGGGAUUGAGUCUGAUUAGCUAGUUGGAGGGGUAACGGCACACCAAGGCGAUGAUCAGUAGCCGGUCUGGGAGGGUGACCGGCCACAUUGGGACUGAGAUACGGCCCAGACGCCGACGGGAGGCAGCAGUGGGGGAUAUUGCACAAUGGGCGAAAGCCUGAGGCAGCGACGCCGCGGGGGGGAUGAAGGCUUGCGGGUUGUAAACCUCUUUCGCUAUCGAACGGGUAGGUGGAGAAGAAGCGCCGGCUAACUACGUGCCAGCAGCCGCGGUAAUUC